rnacentral:tRNA from 1 species
GGAAGGCACACGCACCCGGCGGUGCGGCUGGGCUUCAAACCCAGCAGGGGGCGGCAGACGCUUCCUGGUAGGUUCGACUCCUGCUGCCUUCCGCCA